AUGGCGCGAUGGUUUGAAUAUGCGCAUGGUUUUGGAGAUUAUGGUGAGCUUGCCUGUCGUCGUUGGGGAGGCAAUUUUUGCACACUAGAGAUCACCUCUGUGCUGCUUGCCAGAACGGUUGUAGCAACUAUUAUCUCUGCUGAUAUUAUUGAAGGGUCAUGGCCUGAUGAUUCUAGAGGUCGUGUGGUUGCCCGUACUGCUGCCAUAGAUGAGGACAUUCUGCUGCUUGACUCUGGAGAAGAACCAUUGAAAGUGGAUCCAGACGGUCGCGUUACCCUUCAAAGAGGUGUUGUUUGCGUGGAACGUCAGGGGAUGCUCACGGUUUCUAUGGAAGCCUACUCGAAGGAAGGUAUUUGUUAUGCAGAUUCUGUUGAAUUCAGGCCCAAAAAGUCUCUCACAAGUAUCGGUAUUUGCGACCUUGGAUUCUGCACGGUGCAGUUUAUUGUUGGUUGGUCCCCAAUGGCGACGAAGUCUGAUCUGAUGUACUUUGACAACUGA
rnacentral:rRNA from 1 species